rnacentral:tRNA from 1 species
GGAGGAGUAGCAUAGCCCGGCCGAAUGUACCUGACUCGAAAUCAGGCGAACGUGUAAGCGUUCCGUGGGUUCGAAUCCCACCUCCUCCG